rnacentral:lncRNA from 1 species
AUAUUCUAUACUUGAAAUAUUUUUAUACAUUUUUCAAAUAUCUCAUCCAUGCUCUUACAGUAGCCUUUUCUUUCUAUUAUAGGGUCUGACAUUUGUCGGCGUACCGACAACUUUAUCGGGUAAAUACUGAGUCUAAGACUCUUAUUCUAUACCUCAACAUCUGCAAAUAUCAGACAUCUUAUUUUUAACCAUUUUCGAAAUUUUCAGAAAUUGAAAAAUUUAAAUAAUUCAAAUCUGUCACUAAAGGGCCUAUAGUGAUAUAACUGUUACUAUAGGUGUUCUUCAAAACUUCAUAACUUCAUAAUCUGUUCUCAAGUCAGCUAGUUUGGUCGGCUAUAACUUUCAAACAUCGGAAUCAUAAUUAAAUGAUUUAAACAUUAAACAAUUCCAUUGUCAUUAAUAAUUAAUUUAUAUUAAACUAUUAAUGAAACCAUUGCCAAAAUAUAAAAGUUAUUUAUAAUAACUCAAACUAUUUUUAAAACAUU